GACGAACGCUGGCGGCGUGCCUAAUACAUGCAAGUAGAACGCUGAAGGAGGAGCUUGCUUCUCUGGAUGAGUUGCGAACGGGUGAGUAACGCGUAGGUAACCUGCCUGGUAGCGGGGGAUAACUAUUGGAAACGAUAGCUAAUACCGCAUAAGAGUAGAUGUUGCAUGACAUUUGCUUAAAAGGUGCAAUUGCAUCACUACCAGAUGGACCUGCGUUGUAUUAGCUAGUUGGUGGGGUAACGGCUCACCAAGGCGACGAUACAUAGCCGACCUGGGAGGGGGGACGGCCAAACUGGGACUGGGACACGGCCCAGACCCCUUCGGGAGGCAGCAGGAGGGAAUCUUCGGCAAUGGACGGAAGUCUGACCGAGCAACGCCGCGGGAGUGAAGAAGGGUUUCGGAUCGUAAAGCUCCGUUGUAAGAGAAGAACGAGUGUGAGAGUGGAAAGUUCACACUGUGACGGUACCUUACCAGAAAGGGACGGCUAACUACGUG
rnacentral:rRNA from 1 species